AGAUUCGGGCAUCUCAGGGAUGCGGGCAUCUCAGGGAAAGAAAGAAAGCUCCUGGAGACUGCAGCGUCCUGAACUGUAGAGUUGCGAGGGCCUUAGCGUACAUCCUUAGGAAACCUGUGCCUUACCCCUGGAGGAAAGAAGUGACUCUCAGCCCAUCACAGCGGCCUCUGCACUGCUCCGAGUUGCUUAAGACAGUGUGACUACUAAUUUAAAUAUGUUCAAGGGACUUGAAGGGGUUUUCAUAUUAGUGUAAGGAGUCUCGUUCUCUGUCAGGUCUCUUUGACACUUUACAUAACUUUCCUGACAAAUGACACCCAAAAGCUACAGCUGGUAAUGAAGGAUGAUGAAUCUGAAUUCUCACUGAGCAUGUAAAUAGAAUAAGAAGGACCACCCAGCCUAGUAAACAGAACAUCGCCAGUAAGUGAAGCCCGGAUCUCGUUUUCAUUCCUCAUUCUAGUAAAAAUGACUCUGAAUACUAUUUUAGUGACUCCUUUGUUUUUCUUUAAGGUUACAUAAAUAUAAACAACAUGUUUUUCAAAAGGCAAUUUUCCCUGAAAUUUUCAGUGGUUUGCUUAAUAUCGGCAUCACAUUUCCGAUUUCACCCAUGUUGAUGUGUCAGGGAUUUGUUUUUGUUCUUUGAGUGCACACACAGUUUCUAUGACUAGAGAGUGUUUGAUUUCUCCCAGAGGAGGCUUCUGUGUCUAGUUUCUUGUUGUUGGGAGGUGGAUGACUCCUUUGUCUACCUCCUAGAGCACAGAAACUACAGUGUUUCUCCCAUGUGUACACAAGAGCGGAGAUUCUGUCUUGAGAUCAUGAAAACCAUACACACUUUGGUUUCAUUAGGCAGUGCCAGCUUUUUUCCAGAACUGUUCUGUCAAUUUACUUCUCACCAGUAGACAGAAAUGCCUGUUGUUUUGCGUACUUGCUGACACUUGAGUAGUCGCAUUGUGUGAAGUUUCCGUUCUCUGGGGUUUUUCACUAUUCCCUUCUUCAGUGCCCACGAUGUAACAUAGUGUUGACUAACAGUGUUUGUUUUUGUGUCAUACAACAUCAUUUAACUCUGGAGAGAGAAAUACCCUGGACGCAUAAUAUGGAAGGGUAGCAUAGGGACGCUAAGGGCGGAAGGCACUUUGAAUUUCUCAUCCUUUGGGACUUGGAAUAUGAUUGCGGUUUCUGUGAAUACUUGGAAACAACUUCUGGGUCAUUUUCUUGACCUUUGGGUCCUCCUGGUAAGUGUGGUCCCAGCUUGGUGGUUCAGCUACCAGAUAUUUUCUUAUCAGUGCAGUGGUUGUGAUACUUGUUGGUUUUACGAUGAUGAGUGACCAUUUUGUGUUGUCAUAUUUUGUGGAACUUAAGAUCGCCACUGCAUGACAACGCUGGAGAGAGGCCAGGUCUUGUGGUGAUACUUCACUGUGUCUCUCCACCUGGGGAGAGACAAGGAGUGAGCUGAGCUGGUGACUGGGAGCAGAGAACUACUCUUGAGAGAAAAGGACUUCUCAGCUGUCUGUCCUGACUAAUCUGUUGAAGAGAAGAUGACUGAGAUGGCGGUGGCCAAGGCUGGCACUCUUGGCACCUCUGUGCUGGAAGUCAACCUCUCCCCUCCCUCCUUCCACCCACCCUCAUGGGGAGAGCUUCCCUGGGAGCUACUGCUGAACGGGUGCUGGUGCAGCUGAUUUGGGGUUGACUAGCACUGACCAGAGGGAGCUUGGGGACCAGCCGAUCCUGGGAGUUCUGCAUCCCCUCCCUUUGUUCUGGUUUCAGCCACACUUGAGUGGAAUCUCCUGUAGCAAGCAGCAAUUGACCGGCACUCAUCAACUCCUUUUCAUCGCCAGCACCCCUUGGAAAGACUCUCCACCCUAUUAAGUUCCCAGCCUUUGGUUACCCUAAGAAUUUGGACAUAAAAUGGAAAUGUGGCCUGUCAUUAGAGGUGACUUCUCGGACUCCUGUUGGAGCAGACAGAACGAUUUGAUGGCUUCCCUGUUCUGUGUAGCCUCAGAGUGAAACCUGUGAUGGCAAAGAGCUUUUGUUGAUGAAAGCUAAAAUAAAUCGCACCCCCAGGCCUUACCUUUCUGAUUAGGAUGGCCACUGCUGUCAAAUAUAAAGAUGUUUGAACACUGUCUACAGAUAAUCUUCAAUGUGUUAUAAGUGACUUGACACGGAGUUCAUAAAACACCCUGAGGGUUGUAAGGGGCUGGUUCUGACCCACCAUCAGCAGGAUUCACCUCCUGUUAUUUUUCCAUCGAAGGUGCUAGAAAAGCAAAUGUCCCAAGCUGUCAAGGCAUCUCUGAAGCAGAGUGUGAACACAAAUGCUCUCUGUGUGUCUCCUUUCUUCCUCCAGCCAAACCUGCCUGGAGAUAAGAUAGCUUGAUUUAAGAUAGCUUGAGCUAAGGAAACGGUAGGAGGCACGAAAUUUGGUGUGACUUGGAUUGUUUUAUUUUAACUACUAAAGAUGAUUAUUGUGAAAAAUAUUAAGCCAGAGUUAAAUUGUGCCUUAUAGAACCUAUAACUUAUUUUUUCUUAGAGGUUUUUAAAAGAAAGAAGAAAGUAAGUCUCAUUCUCUGAUUGGAUUAAUUAAUGUUUAGGUUGAGGUUUUCUGAAUUGACACUGCUCAGGAAAGCCAUGAUUUCAGAAUACUUAUGUCAACAUUCUGGCUUGUUAUGUAAACCAAGAACUGAUUUGGUCUUAUAUUUAAUAUUACAUUUGACAGACUAUGUAGUAGACAUGGCACCUUGUGAGAGGUACUUAUGUCUGACGUUUUGUCUUGUAUUAAUAAAGGAAUGAUUGAAAAUUUCAGUUCUGAAGGGAA